rnacentral:rRNA from 1 species
CAGUAGCCGCGGGAAUACGGAGGGUGCAAGCGUUAAUCGGAAUUACUGGGCGUAAAGCGUGCGUAGGCGGUGAGUUAAGUCUGCUGUGAAAUCCCCGGGCUCAACCUGGGAAUGGCAGUGGAUACUGGCUCGCUAGAGUGUGUCAGAGGAUGGUGGAAUUCCCGGUGUAGCGGUGAAAUGCGUAGAUAUGUGGAGGAAUACCGAUGGCGAAGGCAGCCCCCUGGGAUAACACUGACGCUCAUGCACGAAAGCGUGGGGAGCAAACAGGAUUAGAUACCCCAGUAGUCCCUGUCUCUUAUAC